rnacentral:rRNA from 1 species
AUUGAACGCUGGCGGAAUGCUUUACACAUGCAAGUCGAACGGCAGCACGGACUUCGGUCUGGUGGCGAGUGGCGAACGGGUGAGUAACAUAUCGGAACGUAUCCAAUAAUGGGGGAUAACUAAUCGAAAGGUUGGCUAAUACCGCAUACGCCCUACGGGGGAAAGCAGGGGAUCUUCGGACCUUGCGUUAAUGGAGCGGCUGAUAUCUGAUUAGCUAGUUGGUGAGGUAAAGGCUCACCAAGGCGACGAUCAGUAGCUGGUCUGAGAGGACGACCAGCCACACUGGAACUGAGACACGGUCCAGACUCCUACGGGAGGCAGCAGUGGGGAACUUUGGACAAUGGGCGCAAGCCUGAUCCAGCCAUUCCGCGUGAGUGAAGAAGGCCUUCGGGUUGUAAAGCUCUUUCGCAAGGGAAGAAAACUUACUUUCUAAUAAAGAGUGAGGUUGACGGUACCUUGAUAAGAAGCACCGGCUAACUACGUGCC